rnacentral:rRNA from 1 species
GACGGAGGGAGCAAGCGUUGCUCGGAAUAAUUGGGCGUAAAGGGUGCGUAGGCGGCUUUUUAAGUGAGGUGUUAAAGACCCGGACUCAAUCUGGGGGCUGCAUCUCAAACUGAAAGGCUCGAGUGUGGGAGAGGAAACAGGAAUUCCUCAUGUAGAGGUGAAAUUCGUAGAUAUGAGGAGGAACACCAGAGGCGAAGGCGAGUUUCUGGAACACUACUGACGCUGAGGCACGAAAGCGUGGGGAGCAAACAGG